GGCGCCAUCGUCUAGCGGCUAGGACACUUGGUUCUCAUCCAAGAAACAGGAGUUCGAUUCUCCUUGGCGCUACCA
rnacentral:tRNA from 1 species